rnacentral:rRNA from 1 species
CCUACGGGAGGCGGCAGUGGGGAAUUUUGGACAAUGGGCGAAAGCCUGAUCCAGCAAUGCCGCGUGAGUGAAGAAGGCCUUCGGGUUGUAAAGCUCUUUUGUCAGGGAAGAAACGGUGAGGGCUAAUAUCUCUUGCUAAUGACGGUACCUGAAGAAUAAGCACCGGCUAACUACGUGCCAGCAGCCGCGGUAAUACGUAGGGUGCAAGCGUUAAUCGGAAUUACUGGGCGUAAAGCGUGCGCAGGCGGUUUUGUAAGUCUGUCGUGAAAUCCCCGGGCUCAACCUGGGAAUUGCGAUGGAGACUGCAAGGCUAGAAUCUGGCAGAGGGGGGUAGAAUUCCACGUGUAGCAGUGAAAUGCGUAGAGAUGUGGAGGAACACCGAUGGCGAAGGCAGCCCCCUGGGUCAAGAUUGACGCUCAUGCACGAAAGCGUGGGGAGCAAACAGGAUUAGAUACCCUGGUAGUCCACGCCCUAAACGAUGUCUACUAGUUGUCGGGUUUUAAUUAACUUGGUAACGCAGCUAACGCGUGAAGUAGACCGCCUGGGGAGUACGGUCGCAAGNUUAAAACGUUAAGAGUAGUGCGNGNGAGAGCGACGACGACGACGACGAGGAGGAGG